UACGAAGGGGGCUAGCGUUGCUCGGAAUCACUGGGCGUAAAGCGCACGUAGGCGGAUUGCUAAGUCAGGGGUGAAAUCCUGGAGCUCAACUCCAGAACUGCCUUUGAUACUGGCGAUCUUGAGUCCGGGAGAGGUGAGUGGAACUGCGAGUGUAGAGGUGAAAUUCGUAGAUAUUCGCAGGAACACCAGUGGCGAAGGCGGCUCACUGGCCCGGUACUGACGCUGAGGUGCGAAAGCGUGGGGAGCAAACAGGG
rnacentral:rRNA from 1 species